UAGGGAAUCUUCGGCAAUGGACGAAAGUCUGACCGAGCAACGCCGCGUGAGUGAAGAAGGUUUUCGGAUCGUAAAACUCUGUUGUUAGAGAAGAACAAGGACGUUAGUAACUGAACGUCCCCUGACGGUAUCUAACCAGAAAGCCACGGCUAACUACGUGCCAGCAGCCGCGGUAAUACGUAGGUGGCAAGCGUUGUCCGGAUUUAUUGGGCGUAAAGCGAGCGCAGGCGGUUUCUUAAGUCUGAUGUGAAAGCCCCCGGCUCAACCGGGGAGGGUCAUUGGAAACUGGGAGACUGAGUGCAGAAGAGGAGAGUGGAAUUCCAUGUGUAGCGGUGAAAUGCGUAGAUAUAUGGAGGAACACCAGUGGCGAAGGCGGCUCUCUGGUCUGUAACUGACGCUGAGGCUCGAUAGCGUGGGGAGCAAACAGG
rnacentral:rRNA from 1 species